GCCCGGGUGGCUCAGUGGGUUAAAGCCUCUGCCUUUGGCUCAGGUCGUGAUCCCGGGGUCCUGGGUUCGAGUCCCACAUCGGGCU
rfam:Mustela putorius furo unplaced genomic scaffold scaffold00104, whole genome shotgun sequence.